CGGUCCUUGUCUUUCACACUCUCUAAGUCCUUGGGUUUAUGGGAGUUGAAAGGUCUCUGGAUUUUCUGUGCUUGUUGGUAGCCGGUGGGAUCUACUGAGCUGCGGGAGUUUCAGUCUUCUAUGCAUCCUAGGGGAAGGGAUGAGGGCAGCUGGGCAACUCCCCCAGUGUUCCCCUGUUAGGGCUUUUUGUGACUUUGUUUUUCUGCUACUUGCUUUGGGCUCUCAAAGUCUGAAUUCAGUCAUCUGGGUGUAAAAGUCCUCGAGAGAGUGUGCAUGUUUGUGUGUUCACACGUAGUCAUGUGUUUAUAUGUGUACAGAGCUGUGUGUUGGGAUGUGUAAACACACAACAUGGUCACAGCUUUUUAAAUCAUUCCAAGCUCUGGAAAGUCUUCUGGUACAGCAAUGUAAUGAAUAAAAUAAUAUGGUGUUGCCUGUGAAGCAUCGAGCACUGUCUUCUGGGCUGGGCAUCCUAUCAAAUAAGGGGAUGUAAAGAUCUUCCUUGAGGACAGCUUUUAUUCCCUCCCUUCCUGCAGUUGUGAGCAGGAGCUGCUUUCAGAACACAGAAGCUGCUUGAGACGAGGUGGGGGAGGAGACAGUCAAACAACAUAAGUGAUGGAUGGAAGUUGAACCAGUGACUCAGUCACCCGGGAGAGUGAGAGCCGUCAUUCCUGCUGUGUUGUCAGCCCUUGGAAAGCACAAAGCCAAGAGGAGAAAACUCAUGCUAGCUAAUGCUGGGGCUGGUCCAGGACUUCAGAUGAGAAUGCUUAAAUACAUGAAUAUUUGUGAGCAGAGCAGCAUCUGUGAAGAGGAGUGAAAAACUAUUUAAAAUCUGAAAUGGAAAAACCCACCAGCAAUCAAUCAGAACAGUUCUAUUUUCCCUGAGUCUGUGAUGGAAGAACAAGAACUGCGAGUUUCUUAUAAGGUCUUCUUGAGAACUGUGACUCAAGAAUUAAGAAGCAGCAGGUCAGUCCAGCACUACAGAUACAAAUGCAUAAGCUGAGUACUUGUAAACCAAGUCCUAUGGGCCUGAUCUACAUUUGUCAAAUUGACUAUUUUAAGAGCAGAGGAAGCUCCAUUUACAUAUUUAGCAAUGGUUGACUUACCAAAAAAUAUGUGUAGAAAUGAAAUUCCCUUAAAAAGAGUCUAUUCAAUGACAAAAUGUAAUUUUUCAGGGUUAGAAAGCUCUGACCAUUACCCUAUCCUUGCCUUGAAAAACUUGGUGUCUUUGAUCUUAUGUAUAAAGCUGAUGUUUUUCAGUGAAUGAUGAAACAUCUUUGGUCUGUGUAGAAGUGACUGAAUAAAAGGACUAAUAAAGCAAUACAGAACACCAUGAUUCAAAUCACUGCACCAUAUCCUGCCUUUCUUAGUGAGUUAAAGUCAUUUUUUCGGUCUCUGCGAAUACAGGCAACGAUGUUAUUCACACUUCUAGUGAACAAGCUCACAGAUCACAAAAUAACCCUGGCAGUAAUUAGUGCAUUUGGCAGUCCUAAGAGAGAGACCAGUUACUGAAUGGGUACAUAGACUGAAUUAUGUGCUGCAGUUUCCAUAUGGAUGCUUCUGAUGCAGCUACAGUCUCUUGUAACCAGAGGAUCCAAUGUACAGUAUUCUGCAGAAACACAAUUAAAGGAGUUUGUAAUUACACUGAGAGUUCCCUUGAGAUCUACCCAAAUGCUCAGGUCCUUAACAACUCUUUCUCUUAAAAUAUCAUUGUGAUUAAAACAAAUCUUCUGCAAUUGUAAUAUUAUGCAAGUGUCAGCAAUGACUCUGGAGGAGAGGUGAAGUGCAAAUUGUAGUCCAUAGACUUAAUCUUGUAGUUAAUGAAGCAGGUUCUUGAACACAGUGACAUUCACUGUAGGUACAAACAUUCACUUGAGCACAUUCAUUGGCUGAAA